rnacentral:rRNA from 1 species
UAGAGUUUGAUCAUGGCUCAGAUUGAACGCUGGCGGCAGGCCUAACACAUGCAAGUCGAGCGGAAACGAGAAGUAGCUUGCUACUUCGGCGUCGAGCGGCGGACGGGUGAGUAAUGCCUGGGAAAUUGCCUUGAUGUGGGGGAUAACCAUUGGAAACGAUGGCUAAUACCGCAUAAUGCCUACGGGCCAAAGAGGGGGAUCUUCGGACCUCUCGCGUCAAGAUAUGCCUAGGUGGGAUUAGCUAGUUGGUGAGGUAAUGGCUCACCAAGGCGACGAUCCCUAGCUGGUCUGAGAGGAUGAUCAGCCACACUGGAACUGAGACACGGUCCAGACUCCUACGGGAGGCAGCAGUGGGGAAUAUUGCACAAUGGGCGAAAGCCUGAUGCAGCCAUGCCGCGUGUAUGAAGAAGGCCUUCGGGUUGUAAAGUACUUUCAGUUGUGAGGAAGGGUGUGUAGUUAAUAGCUGCGCAUCUUGACGUUAGCAACAGAAGAAGCACCGGCUAACUCCGUGCCAGCAGCCGCGGUAAUACGGAGGGUGCGAGCGUUAAUCGGAAUUACUGGGCGUAAAGCGCAUGCAGGUGGUCUGUUAAGCAAGAUGUGAAAGCCCGGGGCUCAACCUCGGAACAGCAUUUUGAACUGGCAGACUAGAGUACUGUAGAGGGGGGUAGAAUUUCA